rnacentral:tRNA from 1 species
GCGUGGGAAGCGAAUCAUUGCAUUCGGUUUCGGCCCGUACUUUGGAGAAUAUUAAUCUUCCCCAUGCU